AAGACUAUGCUUUCAAGGGAUCGUUUCUAUAGUUCGUUACUAGAGAAGUUUGUCUGAAUGUGUAGAGCAUCGAUUAAACCACGAGAAAGAGACGUAGUGUUGUUUUCUGAGCGUAAAGCCGGCGUUUGGUGUUGCUUCAGUGCAACCGCCAUCUGCCAUUGAAGGUCGCUUUCCUCUCCGUUUUGGAGAGUAAGAGGGGAAGAACAGGGUCUGAGUGGU